rnacentral:rRNA from 1 species
GCAUACAGCCAUACCUCCCCGAAUGUGCCCAAUCUCAUCUGAUCUCGUAAGCUAAGCAGGGUUUGGCCUGGUUAGUACCUUGAUUGGAGACCGCCUGGGAAUACCAGGUGCUGUAAGCU